rnacentral:rRNA from 1 species
UACGUAGGAUCCAAGCGUUGUCCGGAUUUACUGGGUGUAAAGGGUGCGCAGGCGGACUGAUAAGUCAGGAGUGAAAUCUCGGCGCUUAACGCCGAAACGUCUUUUGAUACUGUUGGUCUUGAAUUAGCGAGAGAUUCGUGGAAUUCCGAGUGUAGCAGUGAAAUGUGUAGAUAUUCGGAAGAACACCAGUGGCGAAGGCAGCGAAUUGGCGCUAUAUUGACGCUCAGGCACGAAAGCAUGGGGAUCAAACAGG